rnacentral:rRNA from 1 species
GAUGAACGCUGGCGGCGUGCCUAAUACAUGCAAGUCGAGCGAACGGACGAGAAGCUUGCUUCUCUGAUGUUAGCGGCGGACGGGUGAGUAACACGUGGAUAACCUACCUAUAAGACUGGGAUAACUUCGGGAAACCGGAGCUAAUACCGGAUAAUAUUUUGAACCGCAUGGUUCAAAAGUGAAAGACGGUCUUGCUGUCACUUAUAGAUGGAUCCGCGCUGCAUUAGCUAGUUGGUAAGGUAACGGCUUACCAAGGCAACGAUGCAUAGCCGACCUGAGAGGGUGAUCGGCCACACUGGAACUGAGACACGGUCCAGACUCCUACGGGAGGCAGCAGUAGGGAAUCUUCCGCAAUGGGCGAAAGCCUGACGGAGCAACGCCGCGUGAGUGAUGAAGGUCUUCGGAUCGUAAAACUCUGUUAUUAGGGAAGAACAUAUGUGUAAGUAACUGUGCACAUCUUGACGGUACCUAAUCAGAAAGCCACGGCUAACUACGUGCCAGCAGCCGCGGUAAUACGUAGGUGGCAAGCGUUAUCCGGAAUUAUUGGGCGUAAAAGCGCGCGUAGGCGGUUUUUUAAGUCUGAUGUGAAAGCCCACGGCUCAACCGUGGAGGGUCAUUGGAAACUGGAAAACUUGAGUGCAGAAGAGGAAAGUGGAAUUCCAUGUGUAGCGGUGAAAUGCGCAGAGAUGUGGAGGAACACCAGUGGCGAAGGCGACUUUCUGGUCUGUAACUGACGCUGAUGUGCGAAAGCGUGGGGAUCAAACAGGAUUAGAUACCCUGGUAGUCCACGCCGUAAACGAUGAGUGCUAAGUGUUAGGGGGUUUCCGCCCCUUAGUGCUGCAGCUAACGCAUUAAGCACUCCGCCUGGGGAGUACGACCGCAAGGUUGAAACUCAAAGGAAUUGACGGGGGCCCGCACAAGCGGUGGAGCAUGUGGUUUAAUUCGAAGCAACGCGAAGAACCUUACCAAAUCUUGACAUCCUUUGACAACUCUAGAGAUAGAGCCUUCCCCUUCGGGGGACAAAGUGACAGGUGGUGCAUGGUUGUCGUCAGCUCGUGUCGUGAGAUGUUGGGUUAAGUCCCGCAACGAGCGCAACCCUUAAGCUUAGUUGCCAUCAUUAAGUUGGGCACUCUAAGUUGACUGCCGGUGACAAACCGGAGGAAGGUGGGGAUGACGUCAAAUCAUCAUGCCCCUUAUGAUUUGGGCUACACACGUGCUACAAUGGACAAUACAAAGGGCAGCGAAACCGCGAGGUCAAGCAAAUCCCAUAAAGUUGUUCUCAGUUCGGAUUGUAGUCUGCAACUCGACUACAUGAAGCUGGAAUCGCUAGUAAUCGUAGAUCAGCAUGCUACGGUGAAUACGUUCCCGGGUCU